GACGAACGCUGGCGGCGUGCCUAACACAUGCAAGUCGAGCGAGGGACUUAUAACGGAUUACUUCGGUAUGAAGACUUAAGUAGCCUAGCGGCAGACGGGUGAGUAACGCGUGAGAAACCUGCCCCUCACAAAGGAAUAGCCUCGGGAAACCGGGAUUAAUACCUUAUGACACUUAGGAGUCACAUGACUUUUAAGUUAAAGCGUAAAGCGGUGAAGGAUGGUCUCGCGUCCCAUUAGCUAGUUGGUGAGAUAACAGCCCACCAAGGCGACGAUGGGUAGCCGGCCUGAGAGGGUGAACGGCCACACUGGAACUGAGACACGGUCCAGACUCCUACGGGAGGCAGCAGUGGGGAAUCUUGCACAAUGGAGGGAACUCUGAUGCAGCGACGUCGCGUGGGUGAAGACGGUCUUCGGAUUGUAAAGCCCUGUCAGCGGGGAUGAAUUAUUGACAAUACCCGCAGAGGAAGCCACGGCUAACUACGUGCCAGCAGCAGCCGCCGUAAC
rnacentral:rRNA from 1 species